rnacentral:tRNA from 1 species
GGGCGCGUAGCUCAACUGGUAGAGCAGCGGACUCUUAAUCCGUUGGUUCGGGGUUCGAUUCCCUGCGCGCCCA